GUGUUGACAAGCAUGGAGUUGUGCCUGAUUUAUUAGUAGAGCCAACCCAUAAAGCUGUGGUGGAGUACAGCUGGGCUUUCAUUUCAGUUCCUCAGUACUGGGGUGUGGGUGGUGGGGGAAAUGACGAUCAAAAAAGUUCUGUCCCUGAAGUCAUUGGGAUGAAAUCAAAGAAACUGGAUCAAGAUACGGGAACUGGGAAAGCAGCUUGUUUGGCAAGAAAUUACUAUACAAAGAACAUCAGCUUGGAGAUGUCCCCUGGUGAGGUUGUAUAUGAACAGAGUGCAUCCAUUUUGACAUCAGAAGGGUCUUACAAUGCUAUUAAGGUGGUGAAUGUGGCAAAUAGCCCAGAGGUGACCUGCAUGGCCAAAUACAAUGGAAGCACUAUUACAGUCAACAUAACAUCGCCAGAAAGGAAGUCUGAAGAAUCAGAAACACAGAAAGUUUGCAACACCACAGACACCUCUGCACAAGAUACCAAAGUGGAGAAAGUGAACAUGCUGUCUAUGACUGUGUUGGGUUUGAGAGUCCUGUUGGCAAAAAGUAUUGCCUUCAAUACACUCAUGAGUAUCAAGUUGUUUCUUUUCUGA